UCUACAAACCUAAGCUCACAUUUUCUGAUGGUUUCUUGUGCAGUCUCUAAGCUAUUACUGACUUUAAAACUAUUGCAAGUUCUUUAUUGAUAGUAUCUACUUGGUAAGCUACUGUUUCUGUUCGUUCAGUUCUUUGAAUAUAUUUACAAUGGUUUUUGCACUUAUUUAAUUUUGUGUGUGUACAUAUGUGUGGGUGAGCACAUCAUAUUGUACAUGUGGAGGUCAGAGGACAGCUUGUGGGAGUCAGACCUUUCCUUCCACCAUAUGGGUCCUGGGGAUUUAACUCAGGUCGCCAAACUUGUAUUAAGUGCCUUGACUGGCUGAGCCAUAUCCAUAGUCCCUCUGAUUAUAUUUUAAAUAGAUUGUGUAAAGUUUUUCUCUAGUAGGUUCCGAAUCAGGCUUCCACAGGGGCUGAUUUUCCUUGAAAACUACAGGUUUGCUGGAUACACUGUGACAGUCUGGAGACCAGACUGUGUUUGCUGUCUCUGCUGUGUGCUUGUACGUUGGUUCCCUGCAGCACCUCUGUGCAGCCCGUAUUCAUCAUUCAUAACCUCUGAAUUUUUCUCCCAUUUGCUUCAUCAUAAGCAGGGGACCGUCUGGGAUAAAAAGUAUACUUGCCUUGACCUAGGAGCUGUGUCCAGACGGAGGACACAGUGCUCUGCUUCAUUCUCAUUUGUACAGAGCCUCGAGAUGACAGCUUACAACUUGGCUUUGUCUUUGUUCUUCCCUGGUUUUCUCUUUGGGGUUUUAAAACUGGUUUUGUUUUGUUUUUUGUUUUUUUGUUUUUUUGGUUCUUUUUUUUCGGAGCUGGGGACCGAACCCAGGGCCUUGCGCUUCCUAGAUAAGCGCUCUACCACUGAGCUAAAUCCCCAGCCCCUGUUUUUUUUUUUUAAUACACAAGGAAAGAUAAUGUUUGUUGUAUGCUAAGUCUGGUCAAGUAAAGGUGAGCUCUGCAAAUGGACAUUUCCAGGGAUCUGUCAUCAAAGCCAAAGGACAAUAAAGCCAUUGUGGUGAGGUUGUGGGUCUGCUCCAAACCCACAUACCACCAGGCGGGGAGGCUUCUGACUUCACUGUGACUAAUCCUUCCUGUUUUCAGGGUGACUGAAGGUCUGGAAGGAGGGGAGAGAAUGGGACUACCUCAUGCCUUCUGAGUUCCUCCUGCCUCUCUUCCAGUUUUUUGAGAUAAGGUCUCACUUUGUAGAUGGAUUGAAACUCAUUAUGUAGUCCAGGUUGGCUUAGAAGUCAUGGCAAUACUCCUGACUCAGGUUUCCCAAGUGCUGGGAUUAGAGGUCUAAGUCCCCAUGCCUGGCUCAGUGGGCUUUUGUGAUUAAAUGGUCCUUCGGGUGAUUUCAAUAGUCCUGGGCAGGUUGAAGGAGAAAUCACUCUUUCUAGUAUUCCCACAGAUUUUAAGGAUGAGCAAAGGUGUUCUGAUCUGUUUUGUUUUGUUCUGCCAUUUCCACUUAUUACAGGUUCCCAGCAUGGGGCCUUGGGUGCUUGUAGUGUGAAACCUUAGCUCCUGGAUGCCUCCACAGUGCUAGUCAAUGGGUGUCUUAGUUUUGCUUCUAUUGCUGUGAUAGAGACCAUGAUGAAAAGCAACUUGGGAAGGAAAGGGUUUGUUUGGCUCACAGUAUUCUGCCUCACAGUCCACUGACAGAAGCCAGGGCAGGAACUUAAGGCAGGAACUGAAGCAGAAGUCAUGGAGGAACACUGCUGACUGGCUUGCUUCUCGUGUCUUACUCAAAUUUUCUUAUACAACACAGGUCCAUCUUCCCAGGGGUGUUAGACCUACAGUGGGUUAGAUCUUUCU
rnacentral:lncRNA from 1 species